rnacentral:rRNA from 1 species
UGCCAGCAGCCGCGGUUAAACCAAUAAACUAAAUUAUAUUGUUACGGUAAAAAGAUAGUUAAGUACUCCAGGUAAGUUUAUUGAUUAUUUAUAUAGAGGUAAAAUUUAUAUAAAUACAAUAAAAUAAAAAUAACUUUUAGACUGAAGCUAUGAAAUCUUUUAGGGAAACUGGGAUUGGAUACCCCAUUAUUUUUAGGUAUAAAUAGAAUUUACCAGAGUAUUACGAAUCAUAAAAUUUAAAACUCAAAGAGCUUGGCGGUGUUUUAGACAAUUUAGGGGAACCUGUCUUAUAAUCGAUAAUCCACGCUAUACCUUACCUUUUUUUGAAAUACAGUUUGUAUACCGUUGUCAGCAGGUAACUUUCAAAGAAUAUUAUAGUUAGCUAAAAAAUAAUUAUAUUUAUAUGUCAAAUCAAGGUGCAAUUUAUAGAAAGGAAAAGAUGGGUUACAAUUAUAAAAUCUUAAAACGGAUAAAUAAUUGAAAAUAAUUUAUAAAGAUGGACUUAAAAGUAAAUUUAUUUAUAAAAAUAAGUUGAAUACUGCUCUAAAAUGUACACAUCGCCCGCCACUC